UAUUCUUAAAGACAAAAUUAAAAUGACUCUGGCCCUCUCUCUCUUCUCUCUCUCAAAAUUUUCAGAGAGAGAAUCAAACCAAAAUUUUCGACGACGGUAAAUUGAUGUCGUCGGUGAUGGUUGAAUUGCCGUCCGGUGUAGUAUCCGGCUUUCGUCUGACAUAUAUUGGCUUCCACAGCAGUACAUGGUCGGCCCUUGUCUAGCAUCAUCGGCUCUUUCAGCGGUGAUGGCUAGCUCACGGUGUUAAUCCGGCGUAGUUCGGUUUUCUUUUCCUUUUGGUUUAUAUCACGGUUACGUUUCGACCGUUGAUUGUCUUUAGAUCAGAAUUCAUUGGGUAUGUGUGUUGGUGAUGGCGUUGGUUUUCAGUCCAAGCUUGCUUAAUUAGAUCUAAUUCCAACCUAUCCUUUGAGUUUAAGGUUUACGGAUAAUAAUUAGGCAGUUUGCGUUUUUGAGAUGAAGAUUCAAAGCUCUUUCCUCAGCUUAUUAUGAUUGCCUUUAGCUGUAUCUCUUAUAUUCAAGCUUCGAUUGGGUCUAAGUAACAGAGGUGGUUAAUCGAAGAUCUUUUUUCUCUUUUGAGAUUAAUAGAUCCGUAUUAGAUCCUUACUUCUGUUUUGUAGUUGUUGGAAAAAUUCAGAUGAAGCUAAUCUUCGAGUUUCAUUCGACUUAGUUUCAGUUUCCGGCAGAAUCGAUGGCUUCACGGCGAAGGAUGAUAGAUGGAAAACUUUCGUCUCCUCAGGUUACAUGUGUAUUCGAUGCUAACACGUGUCUGAGAUAUAUUAGCUUGAUCCAAUCUUCUUCUCUAAAUGUAAUGUUGGGCCAGUUGGACUUAAAAUAGUCUCUGUAAACCGUUUUAUGUUGUUGGGCUUUUGCUCGUUCGUUGUAUGUUAUGUUCAUCUUAAUAAAAUCGUCACUUGUGAAAAAAAUAAA